rnacentral:rRNA from 1 species
GAUGAACGCUAGCUACAGGCUUAACACAUGCAAGUCGAGGGGAAACGACAUCGAAAGCUUGCUUUUGAUGGGCGUCGACCGGCGCACGGGUGAGUAACGCGUAUCCAACCUGCCCACCACUUGGGGAUAACCUUGCGAAAGUAAGACUAAUACCCAAUGAUAUCCCACGAAGGCAUCCGAAUGGGAUUAAAGAUUUAUCGGUGAUGGAUGGGGAUGCGUCUGAUUAGCUUGUUGGCGGGGUAACGGCCCACCAAGGCAACGAUCAGUAGGGGUUCUGAGAGGAAGGUCCCCCCACAUUGGAACUGAGACACGGUCCAAACUCCUACGGGAGGCAGCAGUGAGGAAUAUUGGUCAAUGGGCGAGAGCCUGAACCAGCCAAGUAGCGUGCAGGAUGACGGCCCUAUGGGUUGUAAACUGCUUUUAUAAGGGAAUAAAGUGGGUCUCGUGAGACUUUUUGCAUGUACCUUAUGAAUAAGGACCGGCUAAUUCCGUG